GGAUGCGAGGGCGAUCUGGCUGUGACACCUGUCACCCCCAUUGAUAGUCAGAGUUGAUUUGGCUGAUCUGGCUAAGCAGGUGUCCUCUUCCUCCAUCACCACUCCAUAUGCAUCCUUCCCAAAGCUACGCACACAGUAGAACAGGAUGACCAUCCCAGAUAGCAGGAGUGUACGUCUUCAGUCAAGGGUAUACAAUAGUUGCACUCCCCUGCUAGAACCUCUAAACCAGCUCAAGUGGUAGUACUGUUUAUAGCAUCACCAUCCUGAACUUUUUGGUGUCUGUUUAAGAGCUUACAUCUCUCCAUUCCAAAAUAGGUCUCAGGCCUCCAUCCUUCUUU
rnacentral:snRNA from 1 species